CCUUAUUAAGAGUGGCUGAGGGACAGGCCCUGUGACGCCCGGCAACCUGGUAUUUUCCAAGGUGCUAAAUCCUGCGGUUUAACCGAGAGAUAAG
rnacentral:ncRNA from 1 species